rnacentral:lncRNA from 1 species
AUCUUAAAAACUCAGUCCCUAAAAAAAAGCCCCAAUCUUUCACCGCAGACAACAGGUGUUCAAGGUCCUGAAUUUCAUUCAUCCAAGCAAUGGCUUCUUCUUCUCAGAAGCAAAAAAGGGUACUCUUCAUUCUCAUCCCAUGGUGCUAGAUAAAUCUAGGGCCAGGUGCUAGAUAAGUUUAGGCUUCAUCUCAGUUUCAAUAUCACAGUUCCUUUGUAGCGAGCCAUGGAUCUUCUUUUUGGUUAUGAUUCCAAGCCCACUGUUUCUUUUAGUUCACACCUCGACUGGGUGGCAUUCAGUCACUUCAUUUAGAUGCUGUGUUACCUAGCUGGUUUAUUCGUGAACUGACAAUUGUGAAGUUGGGCAAGCCCUGAUCUCUUCUGCCCUUGUUCUACAUGAGGUGACAAUAGCAAGUAACUUACCACCUAGAACCCUUCCGCCUAGUAGUGUUGAACCCUCUCACAUAUCUGUCCUCGAUGAGCUUUCCGACAUGUUGAACAGCCCCGUUUGCAAUGUAUCCUCUCACAUUCUUGUUUCUGAUGAGCUUUGCCACAUGUUGAACUGCAUCAGUUGUAUUGAACUCACGGGUACUCAAUUUCUGCAUUAAUGUUCUCAGCUUCCCAGGUAGACAACGGACAGCCAUGCUCUUUAAGUACAAAAGCAAAUGGUUUAUUAGUUACUAGAUCAUCUUUUACCACAUUCUGUUCUGUAAUUUUACAAAGAUGACUGAAAUGCAUCAAGAAUAUAGGGAUAUAUUAUCUGUAAUUUUGCGAUAACUAUGGUUUGAAUUUCCUUUAUUUUGGUACAGAACUGGGGUAUGGAAUUGUCUUUGUUUUUCUAUCUUUCGGCCAAAAACCAGGGAUUAUUCAACACCAAACAAACUUAGAUCUGUAUAUACAAAUUACUAUACAGAACUUUGGUA